rnacentral:rRNA from 1 species
CUCCGCAACGAGCGACGCUCCCAACGCGACCCCAGGUCAGGCGGGAUUACCCGCUGAAUUUAAGCAUAUCAAUAAGCGGGAGGGA